ACUCCUACGGGAGGCAGCAGUGGGGAAUAUUGCACAAUGGGGGAAACCCUGAUGCAGCGACGCCGCGUGGAGGAAGAAGGUCUUCGGAUUGUAAACUCCUGUUGUUGAGGAAGAUAAUGACGGUACUCAACAAGGAAGUGACGGCUAACUACGUGCCAGCAGCCGCGGUAAAACGUAGGUCACAAGCGUUGUCCGGAAUUACUGGGUGUAAAGGGAGCGCAGGCGGGAAGACAAGUUGGAAGUGAAAUCUAUGGGCUCAACCCAUAAACUGCUUUCAAAACUGUUUUUCUUGAGUAGUGCAGAGGUAGGCGGAAUUCCCGGUGUAGCGGUGGAAUGCGUAGAUAUCGGGAGGAACACCAGUGGCGAAGGCGGCCUACUGGGCACCAACUGACGCUGAGGCUCGAAAGUGUGGGUAGCAAACAGGAUUAGAUACCCUGGUAGUCCACACCGUAAACGAUGAUUACUAGGUGUUGGAGGAUUGACCCCUUCAGUGCCGCAGUUAACACAAUAAGUAAUCCACCUGGGGAGUACGACCGCAAGGUUGAAACUCAAAGGAAUUGACGGGGGCCCGCACAAGCAGUGGAGUAUGUGGUUUAAUUCGACGCAACGCGAAGAACCUUACCAAGUCUUGACAUCCUGCGACGAUGCUAGAAACAGUAUUUUCCUUCGGGACGCAGAGACAGGUGGUGCAUGGUUGUCGUCAGCUCGUGUCGUGAGAUGUUGGGUUAAGUCCCGCAACGAGCGCAACCCUUAUGGUCAGUUACUACGCAAGAGGACUCUGGCCAGACUGCCGUUGACAAAACGGAGGAAGGUGGGGAUGACGUCAAAUCAUCAUGCCCUUUAUGACUUGGGCUACACACGUACUACAAUGGCGUUAAACAAAGAGAAGCAAGACCGCGAGGUGGAGCAAAACUCAGAAACAACGUCCCAGUUCGGACUGCAGGCUGCAACUCGCCUGCACGAAGUCGGAAUUGCUAGUAAUCGUGGAUCAGCAUGCCACGGUGAAUACGUUCCCGGGCCUUGUACACACCGCCCGUCACACCAUGAGAGCCGGGGGGACCCGAAGUCGGUAGUCUAACCGCAAGGAGGACGCCGCCGAAGGUAAAACUGGUGAUUGGGGUGAAGUCGUAACAAGGUAGCCGUAGGAGAACCUGCGGCUG
rnacentral:rRNA from 1 species